rfam:Schistosoma rodhaini strain Burundi genome assembly, scaffold: SROB_scaffold0003394
AGCCUUCUGUAUCCAUGCUGAGAUUUCAUCACACACCAGACUACAAGGGCUGAUGAAACUCCGAAGAUAAGUGAAGUG